rnacentral:rRNA from 1 species
AUUGAACGCUAGCGGGAUGCUUUACACAUGCAAGUCGAACGGAGUGGCGGACGGGUGAGUAAUAUAUCGGAACGUGAACAGUAGCGGGGGCUAACUACUCGAAAGAGUGACUAAUAACGAAUACAAUUGGAGAGGCCGAGAUGGGAUUAGCUAGUUGGUGGGGUAAAGGCUCACCAAGGCAACGAUCAGUAGCUGGUUUGAGAGGACGACCAGCCACACUGGGACGUAGACACGGCCCAGACUCCUACGGUAGGCAGCAGUGGGGAAUUUUGGACAAUGGGGGAAACCCUGAUCCAGCCAUCCCGCGUGUAUGAUGAAGGCCUUCGGGUUGUAAAGUACUUUUGGCAGAGAAGCGGUAUCUGCAGAAUAAGCACCGGCUAACUACGUGCCAGCAGCCGCGGUAAUUC